rnacentral:rRNA from 1 species
GCGUGGAGGACGAAGGUCUUCGGAUUGUAAACUCCUUUUGCCGGUGACAAAAAACCGCGUGAACAACGCGGGCUGAUGGUAACCGGUGAAUAAGCCACGGCUAACUUCGUGCCAGCAGCCGCGGUAAGACGAAGGUGGCGAGCGUUACUCGGAAUUACUAGGCGUAAAGCGUGGGCAGGCGGCUUGGAAAGUCUUUUGUGAAAGCCUUGGGCUCAACCCAGGGAGGUCAAAGGAUACUUCCGGGCUUGGAUAUGGGAGAGGUCGCUGGAAUUCCUGGUGUAGCGGUGAAAUGCGU